UUGCUUCUAAAUAGACACUUCAAGUCAUGAUGUAUUGUUUGGGUGUUGAUUAUGUCAGAAAAAUGAAUUUAAAACAUUGACUUUUGUUUUCUUAAAUUGCAGAUUUAGUUGCAUAAGCAGGCAAUAUAAGUACCUUUUCUGGAAAGAAAAUCUGCAUGUAUCGGUAUGCAAUAGAUAAAUCUGGAUAUAUCUUCCAAACAAACUCACAUGAAUACGAGGAAACUAUGAACAAACCCACCAUAUCCUGAAACAUCGCAAAGGAAACUGGACCUGUAAGCAUGAUUUUCACCAUACUAAUGUAUAAUGCUUCAAAGCUUCAGCGAAGCAGAUGAAAUUUACAAAAUAUGCAAUGUGAUAGGCAGUCCCAGUCAGGAUUCUUGGGCUGAAGGCCUGCAACUUGCAAAUGCAAUCAAGUACCAAUUCCCAGAGGUUGGACUUUAUUUUAUUCUUCAAAUUCGCGGCUACAAUUGGCUGUAAUAUGCUACAGCCCAUUUUAUAUCCUACAGGGAGAAUCUCAUGUUUUGUUGUCAUCAUGUGCCCAAGCAAUGGACCAGCUUGAAUAGUCUUUAACUGUUUCCUAAUUAGCACGUGUUGUUCUUAAUGGUUGUUGCUUGCCACAAUGAAGUGGUCAAUAAUUUGCUGUCUAUAAAUCACUUCG